AUUACUCCUACGGGAGGCGGCAGUGGGGAAUCUUAGACAAUGGGCGCAAGCCUGAUCUAACCAUGCCGCGUGAGCGAUGAAGGCCUUACGGUUGUAAAGCUCUUUCAGUGGGGAAGAUAAUGACUGUACCCACAGAAAAAGCCCCGGCUAACUCCCUGCCAGCAGCCGCGGGAAUAAU
rnacentral:rRNA from 1 species